CUAAGUAGUGGUUUCUGUUUCUCCCUUUCUAGCCUCAGAAGGACAGUGACUAAGUCAACUUUAUCUCCUAGUUUCGAGCACUGCAUCUUGUGCACAGGUUAAGUCUUCAGCUAACAGUUUACAAUAAAAUUUUUAUUAGGAUUACCACAUGGAAUUGACUAUUAGCGCAGUAGGAGUUUUAAGAGGGACAGCAUUAGAGACUUUUUAAAUAGGCAGGACCUGAGCUGGGUAUUAAAGAGACAGGUUUGCAGGGAAGACAAGAGGGGAUAAAGGGGAAAUCCAAUUCUAGUUAUGAGUUUGCUUUUGUCACCUAAUAGUUUUGUAACCUUUACAAUGUUGGGUAAUAG